rnacentral:rRNA from 1 species
AGAGUUUGAUCCUGGCUCAGGACGAACGCUGGCGGCGUGCCUAAUACAUGCAAGUAGAACGCUGAAGAGAGGAGCUUGCUCUUCUUGGAUGAGUUGCGAACGGGUGAGUAACGCGUAGGUAACCUGCCUUGUAGCGGGGGAUAACUAUUGGAAACGAUAGCUAAUACCGCAUAACAAUGGAUGACCCAUGUCAUUUAUUUGAAAGGGGCAAAUGCUCCACUACAAGAUGGACCUGCGUUGUAUUAGCUAGUAGGUGAGGUAACGGCUCACCUAGGCGACGAUACAUAGCCGACCUGAGAGGGUGAUCGGCCACACUGGGACUGAGACACGGCCCAGACUCCUACGGGAGGCAGCAGUAGGGAAUCUUCGGCAAUGGGGGCAACCCUGACCGAGCAACGCCGCGUGAGUGAGGAAGGUUUUCGGAUCGUAAAGCUCUGUUGUAAGUCAAGAACGAGUGUGAGAGUGGAAAGUUCACACUGUGACGGUAGCUUACCAGAAAGGGACGGCUAACUACGUGCCAGCAGCCGCGGUAAUACGUAGGUCCCGAGCGUUGUCCGGAUUUAUUGGGCGUAAAGCGAGCGCAGGCUGUUUGAUAAGUCUGAAGUUAAAGGCUGUGGCUCAACCAUAGUUCGCUUUGGAAACUGUCAAACUUGAGUGCAGAAGGGGAGAGUGGAAUUCCAUGUGUAGCGGUGAAAUGCGUAGAUAUAUGGAGGAACACCGGUGGCGAAAGCGGCUCUCUGGUCUGUAACUGACGCUGAGGCUCGAAAGCGUGGGGAGCGAACAGGAUUAGAUACCCUGGUAGUCCACGCCGUAAACGAUGAGUGCUAGGUGUUGGAUCCUUUCCGGGAUUCAGUGCCGCAGCUAACGCAUUAAGCACUCCGCCUGGGGAGUACGACCGCAAGGUUGAAACUCAAAGGAAUUGACGGGGGCCCGCACAAGCGGUGGAGCAUGUGGUUUAAUUCGAAGCAACGCGAAGAACCUUACCAGGUCUUGACAUCCCGAUGCUAUUUCUAGAGAUAGAAAGUUACUUCGGUACAUCGGUGACAGGUGGUGCAUGGUUGUCGUCAGCUCGUGUCGUGAGAUGUUGGGUUAAGUCCCGCAACGAGCGCAACCCCUAUUGUUAGUUGCCAUCAUUCAGUUGGGCACUCUAGCGAGACUGCCGGUAAUAAACCGGAGGAAGGUGGGGAUGACGUCAAAUCAUCAUGCCCCUUAUGACCUGGGCUACACACGUGCUACAAUGGUUGGUACAACGAGUUGCGAGUCGGUGACGGCAAGCUAAUCUCUUAAAGCCAAUCUCAGUUCGGAUUGUAGGCUGCAACUCGCCUACAUGAAGUCGGAAUCGCUAGUAAUCGCGGAUCAGCACGCCGCGGUGAAUACGUUCCCGGGCCUUGUACACACCGCCCGUCACACCACGAGAGUUUGUAACACCCGAAGUCGGUGAGGUAACCUUUUGGAGCCAGCCGCCUAAGGUGGGAUAGAUGAUUGGGGUGAAGUCGUAACAAGGU